GAAUUACGCCUGGCUCGCGCCGCCGGCGGAGAGAAGUCAGGCUCCGGGGGAGGGGAGGGGCAGGUCCGCGGCGGCGGCCGGAGCUAGUGGCUGCACCCGAGCCCUGCGCUCGCUGGGUCUCGCCGCUGGCUCAGCGGUCUUUCUUUGCACCGCUUUGCUGCGUCGGUGCUCUGCUCCUGCUCCACUGCCCCCGGACCCUCUCCUCUCGGCCUUAGAGCCUUGGGGCGCCGGGGUUCCCCCUGCGACUUCGCCUGUGCUGCCUCCGCUUGCACCCCGGAGCCAGGCGCGCGCCGGUCAUCGUAACUGUCGCCGCGGCCGCCGCAGCGCCUUCUAGCCGGCGGCCGGCACGGAGUGUUGGGCUGGGGGAGACGUGAGCCCAGCUUCCCGGCCCGGGGGCGGGCGUAUUCAAUGGAAGUAUGCUACCAGCUGCCGGUGCUGCCCCUGGACAGGCCGGUCCCCCAGCACGUCCUCAGCCGCCGAGGAGCCAUCAGCUUCAGCUCCAGCUCCGCGCUCUUCGGCUGCCCCAAUCCCCGGCAGCUCUCACAGGUAAACGCCACCGCCGUGGGGGCCCACACUGGGGGCUUCUCUCUUUUGUUUCCCUUCUCCCACCUGGUUUCACCUCCAUGACCCCCCACUUCUCCCUCCCCCGCCGCGUCCUUGUCGUUCACCCCAGACCCCAGCCCUUCCCAUUGUUUGGGGGUUUCUAGGCUGGCCCCUCGACUUUAUCCUCGGAGAUGUACACCUUCAGACUCCCGGCCUCCUCCAGUCUGGACCCGGGUGGGCUCCAGGAGCCCUUCACAUCCUUCCCAGGCCCGCCCCCUCCGUGCUCAGCCGCUUGACUCAGGAAUGACUUUGUCUUCUUACCUUUCUCGAAGUCUCAGUCUGGAAGUGGGGUCUCUAUUCCUGUGGCACACCUGUCCCCCCACCCCCCUUCCACACCUGUGCCGGGCUCACGCCUCGCGGCCGGCUCCCCCCGCCCCCGGCUCCCGCGCGCCGGGCGGUGCUCGGAUGGUCCUGCGGUUCUCUGAACAAUAGGCCGAUUCCUGCUCGGUCUUCUCGACUCCUUAGAUUCUGUGGAUGGACCCUUGAAGGUUCAGUUCAGGUAGAGUUGUUUGCCAGGAAUCAGUUUUGUUUUUAAUUUGAGAAGGAGAUUUUAAGAGAAAAACUACUGAUAGAGCAGUCACAGGGAGACUUUGUUUUGAAUGGUCCAGUGUGUCAGUUGCUUCUGAGAAUUUUAAUUUUUUUUCUGUAGUGAUGCUUUUGGCCCAGCUUCUUCCUUCUGGCUGAUUUUGGUUGCCAGAUUUAAAAUAGGCGAAAAGAAUUGUGUUUUGUUUACAUUUGAACUGAGUGCCUUGCAUUUCUGCUGCCAGAACGUUACAUGUUCAUGAUCACUUUUAAAAUCAAAUGUAUUUAUUUUUCCUAUUGACUAAUUAGUAUCUUUUAUGAGAGUAUAUUUUUUCUCUCCAAUUACAUUGUAAAUAUCUUGAGCCCGGUCUGUAUUUCUUUUUGUUUUUAACUGAUGCUGUGGAUAGAUAGCACUUGGUAGAGAUUUUUCUUAUAGUAGGUGUGUCCAGUAAUUAUUGGUCAUUUGCUUCUUUGCCGAAAUUGUAGAGAGAAAGCAGGAGCCUAUAUCUGAGUUUUUCUCUGUAUUGUUUUUAUUAAAAUCAGACUUCUUUCACAGGACAAGGUGGUAUGCUAAUGAGGUCAGAGCCAACUUGUAAAGAUUACUGUAAUAAAUAACAUUUAAAAAUAAUACUACAUAAUUAUUUUGAAAGUUAGCUCCACUCUCUGCCGAUAUAGGACUGAUAAAAGCAUUUUCAGUUUCUGAAGUAAAUGUUGAGAUAGUAAUGCAUUCAAAAGCUUUUUAAUGGGAGAAACUUUUUUCAUUUCUCAUAGCAGCACGUGACUAAUACCCAUUUUCCAGUUCAUUCUAAAUAAUGAAGGCAAUCACUAAUCAUUCGUAAAACUGUAAAAUGUGAAUAAAGUUACUCUGCUCCCUGAGGAGAAAAUGAAUGAGGUGAGAGAUUCCAAGGGAAUUAAAGCAAGUAAGGCUGAUGCCAGGGGUUUUACCUGAUGUCUUAAUUAAUCCGCAGAGGCCAGUUUUAAGCCCCACUCCUUGACUCAUUUCCUAGCCUUAGAUUUAAAUGGGUAAUGGAAUUUAAAAAUAUGAUUGUGACAGAUAAAGUAAAUAUUGUAUAGUCACACCAUACUUACUAACUCCCAAAACUUAAAAAAAAAAAAUGUUUUUGUACCCCAAAAUGAAGUGUAUAGGAACUUCUGAAAAUUUGGGCAGAAAGUUUCCUGAAUUACCACUUUUUUUCAGAUCAACAAUGCUCAACAGUAAAAUGAAGGUCAACUUACUGUGAUGCUGAAUGGGUAUACUUAAUCAUCACCAAAACUUUGACUGUCAUUUAAUACUAACACGUGUGUUGAUAGUGAUUUCUUUAGGGCCAGGUGAGAAUUUGUAUUAGACUGAUUAAAGAGGUAGAAAAUCUUGGAAUCUUAUUCAGAGCUCUAUAAAGUAAAUAUCUGGUUAUAUUAAAAGCUUUCUUUACUCUUGAAUCUUCAGUUCCUAAGUCUAAAGCUACAGGAAUUAUAAAAAGUUUAGAUGGCUUUUUUUAAAGAUUUUUAAAAACUUGGUUUUUUGGGGGGGGGUUUUUGUUGUUUUUUUAGGCACUAAGUAAAACAGUUAUUUUUAUUAGAGUUCUUCUAUUUUAAAAUAUGUUUAAAACUCCCAGUCUUUGCAGUUUUCAAUUUUCAUCAUAAUAUUGGAGCCCAGUUCAUAGUAGGUACUCAAUAAAUAUUGGUUAAAUGAGUGAAUGGAUAAUGAAGGUAUCUCUGACUGAGCAUCAGUUUAAAAUAGGAAAUCAAUAUAAGGAUUUUCAUCAAAGUAAAGCAGUAACUCAUUUAUCUGAAACUUGGUUUGGAAUUUGUAACUGCAAACUUUAAUAGAUUGGGGAAAUAAGAGAAGGCUCUGAGCAACUAAAAUAGAUUUGGAAAUCCUCUCAAAGCCUGCGUGUUUUAAGCAAAAUUCUGACAAACUCGUUUUACAAGUAGCAGCAAAUUUAAGGGGGAUGGGAGGCCGCUAGAGUCAGGUUCCUAUCAGGAAUAGCAGCAAAAGGUGACAGCUGACACACCAGAAGCCCAGGAUCAAAAGAAACCCUCCUCAAAACUAGCAACUUUUAAAAAAGAGUUUAGGGGCUUGAGUGUUAUACGACACAGUCAUGUUUUGGACAUGAGUCAAAAUAAUAUUUAAUAGAGUCUGUUUUUAAAAGUUGAAAGAUUUGUACUGUUUUGUUUUUUUAAAGAAAAAGAUCUCCAUGCAGAAUGGUUUAAGUGUUGGUGCUUAAAUGGACAAGCAUGAGUUAUCUGAAAAUAUUGGUUUAUGUGGAACACCAGCUCUCCCAAGGAUGCCAAGUAAAUGAGGCAUCAACUUUUGUUUUAAACCAGGUCAUGUACUGCUUUUUCAAAUGGUUAAUAUGAGUCUGUGAAAAUUAUCUUAAAAAAUAAGGAUGAUAAAAAGAAGAUUGUUUUUGCCAUUUUGGAAUAUCUAUUGUUGAUAGCUGAGUUUAAACUUUUGUCUUGCAGAAUGUUGUUCUUAUUUGGAAAAAAAUAUUGUGAGAACAGAAAUUAUCUUGCUCACCACUGUGGCCACAGUGCUUUGCAUAUGUAGGUGCUUAUUAAGUGUGGAAGUCGACUUAGUAUAUUGAUACCUGAGCACUGCACCUGGGAUUAUUUCAGUCAGAUUUUCUGUGCACUGGAAACAGAUCUUAUCUGGGUUAGAAAUUUUAAGUUUAAUUUUAAUUUUUUUUUUCUUUUCUAGG
rnacentral:lncRNA from 1 species